AGUGAGGAAUUCNCCCUCAAUGGAGGGAAAAANGAACCAGCCAUGCCGCGUGCAGGAUGACGGUCCUAUGGAUUGUAAACUGCUUUUGUACAGGAAGANAAAGCACCACGUGUGGNAUAUUGACGGUACUGUAAGAAUAAGGAUCGGCUAACUCCGUGCCAGCAGCCGCGGUAAUACGGAGGAUCCAAGCGUUAUCCGGAAUCAUUGGGUUUAAAGGGUCCGUAGGCGGCUUUAUAAGUCAGUGGUGAAAGUUUGCAGCUUAACUGUAAAAUUGCCAUUGAUACUGUAGAGCUUGAAUUUUUGUGAAGUAACUAGAAUAUGUAGUGUAGCGGUGAAAUGCUUAGAUAUUACAUGGAAUACCAAUUGCGAAGGCAGGUUACUAACAAACAAUUGACGCUGAUGGACGAAAGCGUGGGUAGCGAACAGGAUUAGAUACCCUGGUNNUUUNGCCGUAAACGAUGGAUACUAGUUGUUUGGCUGUAAGGCUGAGUGACUAAGCG
rnacentral:rRNA from 1 species